rnacentral:lncRNA from 1 species
UGAUCGAACCCUUUCUCUUUCGUCUGAGAACGCGAAUCUUCUCCCAACCAAAGCAAGCGACCGAACAUUACAUCCACCACCACACCACCGCUGGUGAGCCGCGACCACUCUCCUCCUUCUCCAUCCAUCACCACUGCAUACUCCUCCAUCUUCUGUUUUGAUUCUUUAGUUUAGAGACAUCUCUCUCCACAACAAACCCUAAUUGUUGUAACUUAAGCCAUUCGAAAAUCUCAAGAGCUUCAAUAGCGUUGAACCCAUUCAAAAAUAUGGUGCUUAAGUCUUCUUCCCAAUCUCACCACCAUGAAUAAUGAUGAUAUCAAUGAAAAUUUUGAAGAUUUGGAAGAACAAGAUGAAAAGAUAUAGAUGUCUGUGUUUAUAUAUAUAUCAAAGAUGUUAAUUGUGAUCAAAGAUAAUCUUAAUCUAUUCAUUAAAGAUUAACAAAACAAUAUAUUUUUAUAUAUAUUUAACAAGUAUUUCAUUUUGUUAUAUAGUUGUUUAAUUCGAGAUAUUACAUGUAAAAAAUUGCAUGAAUAUUAUUGUUUAAGUUAAUUUAUAAUUAU